UACGUAGGGUCCAAGCGUUGUCCGGAUUUAUUGGGCGUAAAGAGCUCGUAGGCGGCUCAGUAAGUCGGAUGUGAAAACUCGGGGCUCAACCCCGAGACGCCAUCCGAUACUGCUGUGGCUUGAGUCUGGUAGGGGAACACGGAAUUCCUGGUGUAGCGGUGAAAUGCGCAGAUAUCAGGAGGAACACCGAUGGCGAAGGCAGGUCUCUGGGCAUUAACUGACGCUGAGGAGCGAAAGCAUGGGGAGCGAACAGG
rnacentral:rRNA from 1 species